UACGUAGGGUGCAAGCGUUAAUCGGAAUUACUGGGCGUAAAGCGUGCGCAGGCGGUUUCGCAAGUCAGAUGUGAAAUCCCCGGGCUCAACCUGGGAACUGCAUUUGAAAACUACGAGGCUCGAGUGUGUCAGAGGGGGGGUGGAAUUCCACGUGUAGCAGUGAAAUGCGUAGAGAUGUGGAGGAACACCAAUGGCGAAGGCAGCCCCCCUGGGAUAACACUGACGCUCAUGCACGAAAGCGUGGGGAGCAAACAGG
rnacentral:rRNA from 1 species